rnacentral:tRNA from 1 species
GUAGUUCAGUUGGUUAGAAUGCCUGCCUGUCACGCAGGAGGUCGCGGGUUCGAGUCCCGUC